AAACAUCGAAGAGCGGUCGCGAACCUGGGGUGACACACCUCUGAGCAUUAUUUCCGUCCGGCCAGGGUUCUCGAUCUCGAUAUCACGUUACGCAAUCGCGCGCCGGCCGCCUCGGCAACGCCUCGCUCCGUAACGUCAGCCGAGAAAAUAAAUGAGUUAUCCUUACGUUCUGCGAAUGGAGAAUGGAAACUGGCGACAACGGCGAAUAGGUUCGGUGACACGCAAAUAUACUAAUAACAACUAGUUCCAGGCUGCACAAGAAACCGGCGACAAUGGGUUCUCUGCUGCCCGCUGCAGUCGACAACCGCACUCGGCAUUCUCGCUAUAGAAGUUUCAGCAGGAACGAGGAUUUUUCUGCGGUUUCCCGGAAGUCUCAGGACACGCGGAAGCGUGUGCUGCUCGCGUGGCGAUCUUGCUUGGAACCGGAGAAAGGUCGAAUUCCUUGCGGUUUGCCUUGCAAUGGCAGAUAAAUUGGGCAGAUAAUCUUCACACAAAAAAAAUCUGAUUUAAUCUUGCAAAAUUACAUAAAUUUGAUAAGAGUAUGUAUAUAUAAAUUUCAACGCGCAUAUAUCGUGUCAAUUGAUGUGAAUCUGAACUUUAUUAUCCCAUAACAUCUAUAUAAAUGCGUAUGCAUACAAAUUAAUAAAAACGAAAGUAAAUAAUGUCGGAGGAUAAAUGAA